GAGUGUUUGAAUUGGCCCGGUGGGAACGCUCUCUUGAGCCGCAAUCGCGUGCUGGCAGGGAGGAAAUUAAGUAAGGUGGCCGAUGUUGUGAGACGCGUGCCACAGUAGGCCGACAGUACCACAACCGAGAGUCGUCCCGUCUGACUUCAACCUCUCAUGGGGUACCGAUAUCCCUCUCUCAUGGCAGGAUUGCCGCAGAUUUUCUCUUUUCCAAGCUCUCAAUUUGGCCUGUUGUAGGUUUUAGUUGUGAUCGCAUCUUGCGCUUGUUUCAAAACUGGCUUGCCUUCCAGCAGGAAUGCGCAUACUGUGCAGCUUCUUCUUAUCAGCUGCGGUUUUUAUGGCGCUGUACCCCACCAGGUAGAUACAUUCUUCUAUUAAUUACUCAUAACUUAGAAUCCAGCACCGUGCAGCGUCUCUUGGGUUACAACUUCAUCAGACUUGAAGUCAAUACUUGAGCACCCCGGCCUUAUCAAAAAAACAGAAGUCAACACUUGCGUUCUGCAAUGAACGCGAUGAAUUACAACUCAAAGUCCGAAGUUUAGGCAUGUCUGCUGGACCGAUUAGGUCCAGACUGCUGGUAUUCUCGGUCUAUGAUAUCAUCUGGAGCCGAAGAGUAAAGCAGAAAUCAGAAAUUGUGACACAACGAACUGCCAGAUGUUGAGCAAACCACACCUUUGUUGAUUUAAGGUUGGGAGCCGAUGAUGGCAUGCUGAGAAACCUUCCAAGAGACUGCCUGCUAAAGCUGUUUUGUUAGCGGUCGGCACCUUGGGGAUCAGGUUGGCCGUGGGUGUAAGAACUGUGGCUAUCCCUCCAACUGUUGGAGGUGCCCCGGUGGCGCUCGACACAGUAAUAUGGAUGGCACGAGCGUCACUCUUCUCCACGGAUCUCUGUCCAGGUUUCACUGCUGCUGCCUGUAAAGCCUGAAACAGUCGAUUAUGUGAAAAAUCAUUCUAUGAAUCCAACCAAGACUUCGAGGAAUUCAAAGUGAUGAGUUCACGGAAGCAAGUUUGACUGACAUCUUCUCCUGCAACAUCAUCUUGAGCUACAAGGAAGACAUCGGCAGAUGUGGAUGUGAUGUUGGCGGUUAAUAUGCCGGUUAGCUCGCAAUGUUAAAAUGAGUCUGUGCACCUGAGAAGAUCGAUCGACCCUGGAUCGCUUCCGAAGUUCCCUCCAUCUUCAACGAUGCUUCCAAAAGUAACGGGCUUCUACCAGGAACCAGCAUCCAUUUUUAUCUUGGUGAUCUGCUCCCGUUACGCCGCACUUUCCAAACCACUUGAACAGAAACACUGCACAUGAAUCUAUGUAUCCCAAAUUCUGUGUCACAGCCUAAGGACAGAUGCCUAUGAGGCUGGGGAAUUGCAGGUUAUUUGUGGAUUUCUACCGCAAACUGUGAAUAGGUCUGUCGAAGAUUGAUGCAACCCAAUGCAUUUUGUUCCUUAGUGUGAGCCUUAAAGGGAAUUGAAUUGGAUAUGCCCACAUUCUCUAAAUUCCAAAGGUGCCACUUGCCAUUUUGAGAAGAUCUAUAGUCUCGUAUCAUUCUUCAUCCUCUGCUUGGCCACAGCUGAUUAUAUAUCUCCUGAUGUGCUCAGUUUGUUUUACAUUCUUUUUAGAAUAGAUUAGACGAUCAAAGCACCAAAAAAAAACAUGAGUUUUUAUACACCUACAAAUGGCUGAAAUUUAAUAGUUUCUUAAAUAUUAUAGCAAAG